GAUGAACUCUGGCGGCGUGCCUAAUACAUGCAAGUCGAGCGAAGCGGGGACGGGUGAGUAACACGUGGAUAACCUCCUAUAAGACUGGGGUCACUUCCGGAAACCGGAGCUAAACCGGAUACUUAUACAUGGAUCCUCGCUGCAUUAGCUAGUUUGUAAGGUCACGGCUUACAAAGGCAACGAUGCAUAGCCGACCUGCGAGGGUGAUCGGCCAAAUUGUAACUGAGACACGGUCCCGACUCCUACGGGAGGCAGCAGUAGGGAAUCUUCCGCAAUGGGCGAAAGCCUGACGGAGCAACGCCGCGUGAGUGAUGAAGGUCUUCGGAUCGUAAAACUCUGUUAUUAGGGAAGCGGUACCUAAUCAGAAAGCCACGGCUAAAUACGUGCCAGCAGCCGCGGUAAUAC
rnacentral:rRNA from 1 species